UCGAGCACGCAACACCACCCUCGUGGGAACGGCUGUCGCGCGUUUCUACGGCAAACAGAACUUCGAGGCCACCCCUCCCCCAGACCGUAGGUUCCGUGAGGACAGGGUUAGAGCUGCAAGACCGGCCCCAAGCGGGGUGCCUUGGAGGCGUGGAGCCGCUCCAGCAACAUCUGGUUCCCAGCAGCCGAGCAUGGUAUGAUCCUUGGCAAUUUCCCCCUUUCCUUUUCACAUUCUUCUUGUGCAUAUGCACGCACGCGUGCUCAAGGAAGGACACACACAAGGCACGAGACAAGAUGCACACACAAGCCAGCAUCUCACGCCUCCUGGAUCGGACACUUCUCCCCAUACUCAUGACCCUGGGCCGUGCCAUUCUGGAGGUUCCUGCAAUCUGCCCCCUGCCUCCCCAGCUGCCAGUGUGGGCCACUCCCCAGCAGGCUGGAGCAAUCCAGCUCAAAUGCAGGCUGAGGACUUCAGUCCUCAGGGUCCCCACUGCCUCCAGGACCAAGUCUGAACACUAGAACGCGCGUAUGAGGCCUUUCGCUGGUGGGCACGUCCGCUGGUCCAGCCUCACGCUCCCAGCCACAUUCAGCCACUGGAAUGGCAGCCCCAGAAGAGCGAGGGCUUCUGGUUGUCUGGAUCAUGGAUGCAUUCCCAGCACCUAGGACAGGGCCUGAGGGAGCCUCUAGGAAUAUUUGUCCAGUGAAAGGGCACUUUUCAGUUCUGAGCCUUUGCUCACGUUUUCCCCUCUGCCUACAACACGCUUUCCUCUCCCUUCAUCCGGCUAAUUCCUGCUCGUCUUUAAGGUCUCAACAGUGAUAUCCUUUCUCCAGUGCCUCGUGGCUUUCCUCUGGAGAAAUGGCCUCUCUCUUCCCGCAGUCCCGCAGGACUAUCUUUAACAUGCUUCUGGCUCUGGGCUCUACCGUCCAAAAGGCAAGAAGCCCCAGCAUGGACCUUUUUCAUUCCUGAUUGUCACCAAGGGAUAAGUAAGGUGCUAAUUCCAUCCCAGAAGAGUCCAAUUCGGUUCCAUCCAAUCCAGACUCUUAGGGUGCAGCAUUUGUCCUAUGACCUGCUCUGACCAGAGAGUCCUUGUCAAACGAAGUAGGCGGGAGACUUAAAAGCUCUCAUGAAGACCUCAUUACCAUCCCCUGCAGCUGCCCUUUCUAGAAACAGACCGAAGCCCCUGGGAGCCCCUGACCUUCCAGUGGUGAAUAUUGAUCUUUGACUCCUAGCUAAGCCACUGUCUUUACUCAGCAGCAGCAAUGACUCGACUCAGGCAAGGAGCUUAUGAACAUCCCAACCCACUAAGAUGUACAUGCCCUUCUCUCUUAUGGUCCCUUGGAGUUAAGUUCCUCUAAGACGUGUACCAAUGCCGUACUGGCUUCAAACCAAAUGAAUCAAUCAAUUCGCUGAGUCCACACGGAGCCAUCGAUUGCUCAAGUGCUUUAUGCUGCCCCCUCCCGCGGCAAGAGCCAGCCAUCCUCAAGACUCACCUCAUUCCUUCUGCGGCCAUCUCAUCAAGGUUGGCAGUGUCCUUCGUUUCU